rnacentral:rRNA from 1 species
GACGAACGCUGGCGGCGUGCUUAACACAUGCAAGUCGAACGGAAAGGCCUGCUUUCCCUUGUGGACUGCGGGUACUCGCGUGGCGAACGGGUGAGUAACACGUGCGUGAUCUGCCCCCAACUUGGGUAUAAGCUUGGGAUACUGGGGCUAAUUCCCGUUAGGACUGCAGGGUGGUGGCUGUGGUGUAAAACGAUUUUCUAGUGGUUGGGGAUGAGCUCGCGGCCUAUCUGCUUGUUGGUGGGGUAAUGGCCUACCAAGGCGGCGACGGGUAGGCGGCGUGAGAGAGCGGGCGUGCGAAGUGGGACUGCGACACGGCCAAGAAGCCUACGGCAAGAAGCAGUGGGGAAUAUGGAGCAAUGGACGGAAGACUGAUGCAGCGAGGCUGAGUGGGGGAUGCCGGGCUGGGGGUUGUGGACUCCUGUCGGCAGCGAGGAAGCGACAUGGUUGGAAGGAUGGUGACGGUAGUGGUAUAAGAAGCACCGGCUAACUACGUG